rnacentral:rRNA from 1 species
CACGUAGGGGGCAAGCGUUGUCCGGAUUUAUUGGGCGUAAAGAGCUCGUAGGUGGUUCGGUAAGUCGGGUGUUAAACCCCCAGGCUCAACCUGGGGACGCCACUCGAUACUGCUGUGACUAGAGUCCGGUAGGGGAGCGUGGAAUUCCUGGUGUAGCGGUGAAAUGCGUAGAUAUCGGGAGGAACACCGGUGGCGAAGGCGGGUCUCUGGGCCGAUACUGACGCUGAGGAGCGAAAGCGUGGGGAGCGAACAGG